UUGACCAUCUUGUGCAUUUAUGAAGAAGACCAAAAGCUGCAAAGGCAAACACUUCCAAUGGAUUUCUCACAGAUGACUUAAUCAUUCUUCAUCAGCUCUUCACAAUAUCAGCCCAUUCAAAAGCUUCCAGAUCUUCCUCUCUUGUGUGACACAUCUGCUCUCAGUCCUUCACUGCCAACCUCCAGUCUUAGCAUUUCUGCUUGUAUUCAUUUUUCCUCUACAUUCAUCACUCCAAUCUCUACUAUAAGCACUCCUGUAUAUAUAUAUAUAUAUAUACACAUAAUAAUAAUUAUUAUUAUUAUUAACCAUUUAUUUGUUUUGCAUUUAUUCACA